AAGACUAUAGACCUGCGGAGUACCUGCGGAGGGAUCAUUAACGUAUCUAUGAUGGGGUGCGGAGCGCCCUGCUCCGGUCGAACGGCCGUGCAGCGGGUGCGCCGCCCCCGUCCCACCUCACAAACCCACUGUGAACAUUCACCGGUGGAGGGGGCUCGGUCUGCGCCGUGUCCCCGAUGCCGAACACCCAAACUCCAGUUGCAAAGAACGUCGUGCGGACUCGGUGCCGCCUAAAACAUG
rnacentral:misc_RNA from 1 species